UGGCGGGGAAUACCUACUGGGUUGAAUUACAUUCCUCAUUCGAGAAAUCAGGACAUAUUUCUAUGAUGAUGUGCUUCAAGCUACACAGAGAGCCAUAUUGAUGGAAAAACAAGACUAAAGGUAGAAAUCAAUAUCCCAGAGCUAAACCCAGAAAUGGAUGUUUAUAG